UACGGAGGGUGCAAGCGUUAUUCGGAAUUAUUGGGCGUAAAGAGCGCGUAGGCGGCCUCUUAAGUCAGAUGUGAAAGCCCGGGGCUUAACCCCGGAAGUGCAUUUGAAACUAAGUGGCUUGAGUAUGGGAGAGGGAAGUGGAAUUCCUGGUGUAGAGGUGAAAUUCGUAGAUAUCAGGAGGAACACCGGUGGCGAAGGCGACUUCCUGGACCAAUACUGACGCUGAGGCGCGAAGGCGUGGGGAGCAAACAGGAUUAGAUACCCUGGUAGUCCACGCAGUAAACGUUGAUCACUAGGUGUAGCGGGUAUUGACCCCUGCUGUGCCGAAGUUAACGCAUUAAGUGAUCCGCCUGGGAAGUACGAUCGCAAGAUUAAA
rnacentral:rRNA from 1 species